GUAUUCAGAUAUCAAUUAAGGUUGUGUAUCAGUGCUUUAAUUACAUAAACGGGGAAAUGUUGAAAUGUGUGAUGUUUCUACUUCUUGCUGGACUUCUGAUUGUUCCGCAUGCCGUGGAAGGAAAAACAUGCUAUAAGAGGAUAUGUUGGUGUAGGGGAAGCUACUGUUGUAAGACAUAUUCCUAUCCGUGUUGGGGAAGAAGGCGCUCACUUGAGGAUGAGGUUCGACUUGAUGACCUAGAAGACUACUAGUUGGUUAAAUUAUCUAUUAAAGCAGUCAGUCAAUAAAAUAAUAAAAUAUU